rnacentral:rRNA from 1 species
GACGGGGGGGGGCAAGUGUUCUUCGGAAUGACUGGGCGUAAAGGGCACGUAGGCGGUGAAUCGGGUUGAAAGUGAAAGUCGCCAAAAAGUGGCGGAAUGCUCUCGAAACCAAUUCACUUGAGUGAGACAGAGGAGAGGUGAAUUUCGUGUGUAGGGGUGGAAAUCCGUAGAUCUACGAAGGAACGCCAAAAGCGAAGGCAGCUCUCAUGG